rnacentral:lncRNA from 1 species
UUGAUCUGAUUUUUUGGUUUCUUCCUUGUGCAAUAUAUUUAUAUUGUUAAAGAGUAAAUCAGUAGAACGUACCUUCCAAGAAGCAGGUAUCUAUAAGAGAGUUUAUACUAUUUACGCUAUGUAAAUAAUUUUUGCACUAUCAUUGUUUUGUUUUAAUUAUGUCUGACAUUAUGAAAAGAAAGUUCGUUGCCCUUGAAAUUUUGGGCAA